CACACAUCAAGAAAAACCCUAAUCGGAAAAACCCUAGCCGCGAAGGCCCCUUCCCCCAUCUUUAUAAAGCGACCUUCAUCCUCUCAACUUCAUACUCGAAGGCGUCUUUCAGGUAACUCGUUAAUUGAGUUAUAUUUGAAAUUGGAUUCUGUUAAUGUUGAUGAACUAUCAGUGGAGACUUUCACCCAGAGUCUACACGAAUAGUCAUGGUAUGUUAUGUUUGAUUUUGCUAGGAAAAUAGAGUAAGGAUACUAAGACUCCCCUAGUACAUUAGGAAAAUGGGACUCCCCUAGUACAUUAGGAAAAUGGGAAAGGGUGGUUUGGAAUGAUUUGUGACAAAUGGUAUAUUGGCAAAUGGUAGUGAAUUGAAAAACAUGGUAGCUCUAGCUGAUAAAGUAGACUUGUCUUCAGGGAAUUCAGUUUACCAUCUGAAUGUAUUCUGAAAUGGUUUAAAUAGGCCAGCUCAAGAAUCCUGAUGUGAUUCAACAAUACAGAUGCUCUUGUGCAUUUGCGGAUCGGGUGGUUGUGAAGAAUUAAGCUUAGACGAAGAUGGAGCAAGCGUAGGUUAAGUGGAUUUUGAGCUGGACGAAUUGAAACUUUGUUAAUCGAGUAUAGCAUUGCGAAAAACUAACUCUGUUAGACUGGAAGGUAACAUUAUGGGCUUGGUGAGGAGCAACAAUUGAUGGUUUUUGUAAGGUAUACUACUAAAGGUAGUAUACAUUACUCCUAUAAUGAUAUAAUAGUAGAGGAAAAAACAUAUCUAAAACUUGUUGAAGGGACUCUACAUCAAGUCAAAUUUUACGACUUAUUUGCAGUGGGAUGAAACUAUGUAGAUCGAAAGAUGAAAUGUUCAUGAUCAGUGGUGGAAGAUUCUUUUCGGUAUUCUCAGCUUUAAGCUUGAAUUGUUGAAUUUUUUUUGUAAAAUCAUCCAUUAUAGUAGAAGUGUUAAUAAACCUUGCGAACAAAUUGUUAUAACAA